rnacentral:rRNA from 1 species
AUUGAACGCUGGCGGCAGGCCUAACACAUGCAAGUCGAGCGGAUGAAGGGAGCUUGCUCCUGGAUUCAGCGGCGGACGGGUGAGUAAUGCCUAGGAAUCUGCCUGGUAGUGGGGGAUAACGUCCGGAAACGGGCGCUAAUACCGCAUACGUCCUGAGGGAGAAAGUGGGGGAUCUUCGGACCUCACGCUAUCAGAUGAGCCUAGGUCGGAUUAGCUAGUUGGUGGGGUAAAGGCCUACCAAGGCGACGAUCCGUAACUGGUCUGAGAGGAUGAUCAGUCACACUGGAACUGAGACACGGUCCAGACUCCUACGGGAGGCAGCAGUGGGGAAUAUUGGACAAUGGGCGAAAUCCUGAUCCAGCCAUGCCGCGUGUGUGAAGAAGGUCUUCGGAUUGUAAAGCACUUUAAGUUGUGAGGAAGGGCAGUAAGUUAAUACCUUGCUGUUUUGACGUUACCAACAGAAUAAGCACCGGCUAACUUCGUG